rnacentral:rRNA from 1 species
GACGAACGCUGGCGGCGUGCUUAACACAUGCAAGUCGAACGGAAAGGCCCUGCUUUUGUUGGGUGCUCGAGUGGCGAACGGGUGAGUAACACGUGAGUAACCUGCCCUUGACUUUGGGAUAACUUCAGGAAACUGGGGCUAAUACCGGAUAGGAGCUCCUGCUGCAUGGUGGGGGUUGGAAAGUUUCGGCGGUUGGGGAUGGACUCGCGGCUUAUCAGCUUGUUGGUGGGGUAGUGGCUUACCAAGGCUUUGACGGGUAGCCGGCCUGAGAGGGUGACCGGCCACAAUGGGACUGAGAUACGGCCCAGACUCCUACGGGAGGCAGCAGUGGGGAAUAUUGCACAAUGGGCGGAAGCCUGAUGCAGCAACGCCGCGUGCGGGAUGACGGCCUUCGGGUUGUAAACCGAUUUCGCCUGUGACGAAGCGUGAGUGACGGUAAUGGGUAAAGAAGCACCGGCUAACUACGUG